GACGAACGCUGGCGGCGUGCUUAACACAUGCAAGUCGAACGGAAAGGCCCCUUUGGGGGUACUCGAGUGGCGAACGGGUGAGUAACACGUGAGUAACCUGCCCUUGACUUCGGGAUAACUUCAGGAAACUGGGGCUAAUACCGGAUAGGAAUCCUUGCUGCAUGGUGGGGGUUGGAAAGCUUCGGCGGUUUUGGAUGGACUCGCUGCUUAUCAGCUUGUUGGUGGGGUAGUGGCUUACCAAGGCUUUGACGGGUAGCCGGCCUGAGAGGGCGACCGGCCACAUUGGGACUGAGAUACGGCCCAGACUCCUACGGGAGGCAGCAGUGGGGAAUAUUGCACAAUGGGCGGAAGCCUGAUGCAGCAACGCCGCGGGCGGGAGGACGGCCUUCGGGUUGUAAACCGCUUUCAGCAGGGGCGAAGCUUGUGGUGACGGUACCUGCAGAAGAAGCACCGGCUAACUACGUG
rnacentral:rRNA from 1 species